GUUGGGCAUGGUGGCACAUGCCUGUAAUCCCAGCGGCUUGGGAGGCUGAGGCAGGAGGAUCUCGAAUUCAAAGGCAGCCUCAGCAAAUCAAGGCAUUAAGCAACUCAGUGAGACCCUGUCUCUA
rnacentral:sRNA from 1 species